UUAUAGGAAAAGAGCUUGGAACUUCAAAAUCAAUUUGGAAGAUAAAAGUUACAUUGAAGAAGCUAUCAUUGAAUGUUCAAAGUCAUAUUACAAAUAAUUGCCAUACACCAUGCUACGCUACAAUAUUACAAAGCAUUUCCAUUAUAAAAUCACGUACCAAAUCACAAAUUGCAAAAAAGGAGUCUUUACAAAGAAACAAGUUACAUGGAAUAAUCUGUCAAGAAUCUGAACUUCAUGAUCAAGUUUCAACCUUCACUUUGUUUCGACUUUUGCUCCAAAUCCAUUUCAUGCCUUUCAUGUUGUAA